GGCUGGGCUGGGCUGGGCUGGGGAGGGAAGCCCUGGCGGUGCACUAGCAAGUGCCGCCUGGAUCGGCCCCUCCGGAUUGCCGGAGGUGGUGGCUGCUCUUUACUCUUUUGAUCCGAAGCCCGGAGCGAGGCAGCCGAGGGGGCGGGGCGCGGGGGACCGGCCCACGCUGCAAAGCAGGUCCCGCGGUCUUGCAAUGAUUAAGCUGGUAACUUUCAGCAAGGAGCGCGGCGCGGGUUUAGAAAACGCCGCGGGUGCAGCUGACGUCUCGCGCAGCCAAAGGAAGGGAGGGAGCGAGCGAGCGCCGCCGCCGCGCAAACAGGAUGACACGAGGUUAACGCCAACAGCACAGGCCCCGGCAGCCGCUCCGGUCCCGAGCGGCCCUUGACCCUUCCCCCGAGGUCGGCGGGCGCCGCUUAGCGCUCAGCGGGAUCACAGGCUACAAACAGUCUCCCGCCGGCUGCAAAAAUACGGACUCGGCGAGGCUGCACCCGGAGCGGCGGGCGGGGAGAGGGCAGCAAAUUCGGAGCGGCUGGGCUUGUCCCCGGGCCAGAGCCCAAACCGUCCGGGCUCCAAGGGGCUGCGGCAGAGCGAGGUCUCGGCGCGAAGCAACAAGUGCUGGGGGAAGCGUGGCCCUGGAGCCACCCCUUGCAGCAGCGUCUGCGCUCAGCGGAUGGCUCCCGGCCGGGGCUCUUCAAUGCAACUUCGGCUGGUUUCCCUUCGCCCUGUAGUGGAGCUGCUGCUCCGCCCAGCCGCGGCGCUCUGCUCCAGCAGAGCUGUUCUGCGGGGCGCUGGGAGUAGUGUGAGCCGCCAGUCGGAGCGAGCAGCUGCGCUCCGGGUUUCAGCCUCCUGAAUCUGCCCGGCCAGUCGCUCUCUGUCUGGCUCCUCGAACAGCGGGUGGGGUGCGCCGUUGGCACAGAGCGCCAGGAUGAAGAGAAGCAGGAGGGGCGUCAAUCAAAAGCGUUAUCAAAUAAAUCCAUACUUCCUACUCUCUUAUGUCUGAUCCUGAAUAAAUGAAGUCAUUUGGAGCAUUUGCCAUUGUCUUCAAUAGCGACAAGAACAAACUCUUAGGAUUGAAAGCUCUUAUUCCAAUCUUCCACCACUUUGAAUCCUUGUAAAGAACAUUCCAUUCCCAUUUUUUCAGAUGGGAAAACUGAAGCACGGAAUGGCAAUGUGAGUUGCUAAAGAUCACAGGACAAGGCACUGGCAGCGGUGGGAGUAGAAUCUACCUCUCCUGACUCCAAUCUUGUGUUAACAAGCAUGCAACAGGCAGUGCCAGGACAAGCUUCUGUUACACCAUCCUGCCAAUGUGCUUCAAGCUAGACCUGGAUUGACCACCCCUUUCUUUUCCCGCAAAAAACAAACAAACAAAAAAAAAACCGUAAAGCAGACGCAUUCCCUGGAUACGGCAGAGUUUGAAAAACCCCAUAGUCUAGACAUAGCCAUGGCCAUAUACUGGGAACCUGUGAUAAGGAUUUUACCUUGAACCAAGUCUACCUGGUUACGUUUCAAUUUGUUUUUUUCUUUCUCUUGUACCCAUUUCUUCCUUUA